rnacentral:rRNA from 1 species
GACGAACGCUGGCGGCGUGCUUAACACAUGCAAGUCGAACGGAAAGGCCUCUUUCGGGGGGUACUCGAGUGGCGAACGGGUGAGUAACACGUGAGUAACCUGCCCUUGACUUUGGGAUAACUUCAGGAAACUGGGGCUAAUACCGGAUAGGAGCUCCUGCUGCAUGGUGGGGGUUGGAAAGUUUCGGCGGUUGGGGAUGGACUGGCGGCUUAUCGGCUUGUUGGUGGGGUAGUGGCUUACCAAGGCUUUGACGGGUAGCCGGCCUGAGAGGGUGACCGGCCACAUUGGGACUGAGAUACGGCCCAGACUCCUACGGGAGGCAGCAGUGGGGAAUAUUGCACAAUGGGUGGAAGCCUGAUGCAGCAACGCCGUGUGCGGGAUGACGGCCUUCGGGUUGUAAACCGCUUUCGCUCAUGACGAAGCUUUGUGUGACGGUAGUGGGUAAAGAAGCACCGGCUAACUACGUG